UGGGAGGUGGUGCAACGGUAGCACAGUGGGUUCUGGACCCAUUAAUCUAGGUUCGAGUCCUAGCCUCCCAGCCA
rnacentral:tRNA from 1 species